AACGAACGCUGGCGGCGUGCUUAACACAUGCAAGUCGAACGCGAAAGGGACUUCGGUCCUGAGUAAAGUGGCGCACGGGUGAGUAACACGUGGAUAAUCUACCCGAUGGACCGGGAUAACACUUCGAAAGGGGUGCUAAUACCGGAUAAGCCCACAGGCUCCCUGGAGCUUGCGGGAAAAGGUGGGGACCUUCGGGCCUGCCGUCAUCGGAUGAGUCCGCGGCCCAUUAGCUAGUUGGUGGGGUAACGGCCCACCAAGGCGACGAUGGGUAGCUGGUCUGAGAGGAUGAUCAGCCACACUGGAACUGAGACACGGUCCAGACUCCUACGGGAGGCAGCAGUGGGGAAUUUUGCGCAAUGGGGGAAACCCUGACGCAGCAACGCCGCGUGAGUGAUGAAGGCCCUCGGGUCGUAAAGCUCUGUCAGAGGGGAAGAAACUUUUGGGGGAGAAUAUCCCUUGAAACUGACGGUACCCUCAAAGGAAGCACCGGCUAACUCCGUGCCAGCAGCCGCGGUAAUACGGAGGGUGCAAGCGUUGUUCGGAAUUAUUGGGCGUAAAGCGCGUGUAGGCGGCUAUUUAAGUCUGAUGUGAAAGCCCGGGGCUCAACCCCGGAAGUGCAUUGGAAACUGGAUAGCUUGAGUACGGGAGAGGGAAGUGGAAUUCCGAGUGUAGGGGUGAAAUCCGUAGAUAUUCGGAGGAACACCGGUGGCGAAGGCGGCUUCCUGGACCGAUACUGACGCUGAGACGCGAAAGCGUGGGGAGCAAACA
rnacentral:rRNA from 1 species